rnacentral:lncRNA from 1 species
CCGUCAACAGAUGCUAUAAUUCCAUCACCACCGAGAGCGUCUUGACAAGUUACAAAUCCCCAAAUCUGAAACCACGAACGUUUCGGAACUCACAGUUUCGAAUCAUCACGUACAGAAUAAAAAAAUCAUGCUACUCAAUUGCGAUUAAAAAAAACAUAAAAUCAUAAAUCGAUUAAAACACAAUUAAGAAGGAAUCGAUUUCGGACCUAGGGUUUUAGAACUUCAAUUGGCUGAUUCCUCGAGAAAUUUCCAAAACUUCGGGCCUGAAGGAGAGCAUAAAUUCGUGAUUGUUGAAAGAAAUGAAUGGGGGGUUUGCUGAAGUUGAAGAAAUGAAUGGGGAUUUGCUAUCCCAGAGUGGGAAAUCGACCCGACCCGACCCGGAAGAUCGCCGCCACCCGUUUGGGAGAUGAACGAGAUACCUUCGCCGGAAAUGAGCGAGGUUGAUUCGGAGGUGAUGAAUCGGCGGCAGCAACAGAAGUAGAAUGAGGAGGACGGCGAAAAUUUUCUGGUCGUUCGAUGGGG